CAGUAGCCGCGGGAAUACGUAGGUGGCAAGCGUUGUCCGGAAUUAUUGGGCGUAAAGGGCUCGCAGGCGGUUUCUUAAGUCUGAUGUGAAAGCCCCCGGCUCAACCGGGGAGGGUCAUUGGAAACUGGGAAACUUGCGUGCAGAAGAGGAGAGUGGAAUUCCACGUGUAGCGGUGAAAUGCGUAGAGAUGUGGAGGAACACCAGUGGCGAAGGCGACUCUCUGGUCUGUAACUGACGCUGAGGAGCGAAAGCGUGGGGAGCGAACAGGAUUAGAUACCCCUGUAGUCCCUGUCUCUUAUAC
rnacentral:rRNA from 1 species